rnacentral:lncRNA from 1 species
GACAGGAGGAAGUCUGGAAGAGAUUCGGAGAGUAGUUGAUCACUGUAGAAAAUUGGCUGAUAGUGAAGCCCAGAGAGCAUUUGGAGCAGUCCGAUAGACGACUGAAGGAGUUCAUUAUCGAAGAAGUCUGGAGGGUACGAUAGGAGUUCAUCCGUUGAAGGAAUCUGGAGGACACUAUGGAAGGUCGACUGCUGGAAUGGUCCGGAUAGUACUGUGGAAGCUCAGACGAUCGGAGGAGUUCAGAAAGACGUCACACA